UAUUUUUCUUCAUAAGGCCACAAUUAAAAAUAUUUCAGUUUGCCCAAACCCGACCCAUGAUGACUGGGUGUGGGUAGGUAGGUAGGCAAAUUCUUUUUUUUUUUUUUUUUUUUAUCCGAAUUUGCAUGAAAAUAUUAAAAGAUCUUAAAACAGUAUAUCUUUUUUUUUUCUCUGUCAAACCUUUGUAGAGACAACCAAAAGCCAUGAAUUUAAAACCUCUAUAAAUAAAUUAGUCUACUUUAUGAUUUGUAUCCCGAGAUGUUUAUAACCCUGACAAUUGCUAACUGUGUGAAAGGGC
rnacentral:lncRNA from 1 species